rnacentral:rRNA from 1 species
UACGUAGGGCGCAAGCGUUAUCCGGAAUUAUUGGGCGUAAAGAGCUCGUAGGCGGUGUGUCGCGUCGGCCGUGAAAACCUGCAGCUCAACUGUGGGCUUGCGGUCGAUACGGGCAUCACUGGAGUUCGGCAGGGGAGACUGGAAUUCCUGGUGUAGCGGUGAAAUGCGCAGAUAUCAGGAGGAACACCGGUGGCGAAGGCGGGUCUCUGGGCCGAUACUGACGCUGAGGAACGAAAGCGUGGGGAGCAAACAGG